CCACCCAGCGUCCUCCAAUGAUCUCUUCGUUGACUGCGCCUCCUUUCGAUACCAUUGCUCCUCUCUCUUUUUCUCUCUUGAUUAAACAUCCUGUCGGGCAACAUCGAGCCGUGGAGGCCUCUACAGCCCUCCGGCAGCUUCAACAGACCACCGCCAGCCUUCAGCGGCAUCGUCCACUCUUUUCCUCCCCUCCUCUCUCUCUCUCUUCUUCUCUUUCUAUCUCUUUCCCUCUCCCUCCUCUGGUGUUCGGAUUUGCCUGACCAAACCAUCCCAAUUUGCCACCAAUACGGCUCAGAACGUCCUGAACUGUCCGAUUCGGGACGAUUCGGUGAACGCCAAGAAGUGUCAACACUAGCAAUAGCUACUUAGAGUGUCUUGUCAUAGGAUCAAGUGUUAUCACUUAAAUUCUCAAAUAUUACAAGUGCUAAAUGAUAUUAGCUUAAACAGGAGCAGGGCCGAAGCAUGGCUAGGGGGGGCCAUGACACCCCUUCUCAUGCAAUUUCUAUUCAAGCAUCCCCUAUUUCCUAUCAAGGAUUCUCUACUUAAAUU
rnacentral:lncRNA from 1 species